UUUUCUCAUAAGGAAGGGAUUUUUUUUGGACUUGGAGGUUCAAUGCUCGCUUCACUUUUGAAAGCGAGCUCCUCUCAAAUAGAUUAGUGGGGUUCGCUUUGACGAUCCUUGACGUGAUAAGAUGCUUCUACGUUUUGGAUUUAGCAUUGUCUCUCGGAUGCCUGCUCCUAACCGUCACAUGGACAAUGAUGGUGCUCCGGUCACCGCCAUCUACGUCGGCGGGAGGCUGGACCCACGAAACAAACCUUGACCUCAAAUCGGGUGAGACUACCCGCUGAACUUAAGCAUAUCAAUAAGCGGAGGAAA
rnacentral:rRNA from 1 species